rnacentral:lncRNA from 1 species
GUCUGAGGUGCUCCGCGUUCUCUGGGUAGUCGAAUACAACCUGCUGUCUCUAUGCAAAGGAGCCAAGGUGCUUGUGUGUGUCUCCCAUCUCCAUCAGUGCAUUUGGAAUGGGAAGUGAAGAGAAGAAGAACGAGGCAAGCAACCCUGGCAACCAAUCAUUUUUCCAGGACCUUUGCUGUUGAUGAUCAACACCGAAACACACAAUUGGUCAAUGUGCAGAGGACAAAGAAUAUUGGGAAUUCUCAGCCCUACUUGGAGCAUCUAUAUAACAUUCCUUCCUGGAAGAAGAGUCAGGGAAAGAUUGUAAGAGCCAGAGGCACUGGAUGACUACAACGAAGCAACAUUUUCUGGAUACAGCAGGGCAUUUACACAUGUGAGCUUAUGGAACAGUGGUUAUCCACUUUCCCAGUGCUGCAACCCUUCACUAUAGUUCCUCAUGUUGUUGUGGUCCCAAAUAUAAAAUUAUUUUUGUUGCUACUUCAUUAUUGUAAUUUGCUACUGUUAGGGAUCAUAAUAUAAAUAUCUGUGUUUUCCAGUGAUCUUAAGCAGUCUCUGUGAAAGGGUUGUUUGAACUCCAAGGGAUCACACCCCACAGGUUGAACAUCACUGUUAUAAAUAUUUUAAAAGUAUGCAUCAGACUUAUACAAGCUCAAGCUGGACACGAUUUCAAGAAGCCAGGGGAGGUGGGCAGGAUAUCCCACCCCUCUUUGAGAAGCUAUUGAUAAUUGAUAGUAUCUGGGAGAAGGAUAGUCAGUGUUCUGUAAAGGUGUGGCCUUUGGGAAGUCUCCAAUGAACACUCACACAUGCUAGGACAUAGGGAAAGACAAAUUGGACUUAAUGAUUUUUGUUGUUGUUGUUUUAAAAUUUUUAAAGAAUAUACAAGGUUGGGUAAAUAAAAACGGGGGUAUGGGGAAGCAGGGCAGGAGGGUAUAGGGGGGCUUUGAGGAUAGCAUUUGAAAUGUAAAUGAAAAUAUCUAAGAAAAAAAGAAAAAAAACGAGGGUAUGAAUUGGGAAGGAGUUAGAGGAGGGAGGAAAUAUGAUAAACUAUACUAGAAAAUUCUCAAAGAACUAAUUUUUUAACUUCAAACGUUAAAAUCAUUAUUUCUAAAACAUAAUUAAAGACCAUUUUUUUAAUG